CAGGGAGGUAGUUUAAAAAAAACACCCGCUUUGGGAGCUGGAGAUUAGGGAUUCCUAUCCCCUGA
rnacentral:tRNA from 1 species